UCCAUUUCCACGAUCUGAAAUCAAUCCCCACACAAAACCCUAGCUAAACCUAAACCAGACCAAUCCUCACAGCAGCAGCUCUCUUCCCCCCAUCCACAGCAGCCACAAAGCACCAUCUCUGCCGCUACAUCCCUCGUACGCCGCCUCCGACGACCCAAGAAAGCUCUAGAUAGAGCUCCCAGUUGGCUGGAUCCAAGCCCCUGAGGAAGCACAGGAAACAUCAUCUUGUGUUGAGUGCAUUGUGGCCUCGAUUGAUUCGUCGUCAUGAAGCUCGAGACGACGCUGUUGUGUCCUCUAGAGCAAGCUCAAGAUCUGUCCUAAGCAAUUAGGUUGGAGGUUGCUUGGUUCCUGUCUUUGACCUAUGCUGACAUAUAGCUAGGAGGAAUUAUAAUUGCUUUCUAAGUAAUUGGAGCCCCAGCUACACACUUGAACAAGGUUAGAAGAAAAUCAGACCGAACAACCAGCACAGAACUACAAAGUAUACAUGUGGUUCCCUUGUUCUCUAACUAUUUCUCCCCUUGUUCAUGAUUCUGAAUUUCUCACAGUAUUUCAGUAAUUGUAUAUGAUACUCUGUUUUUUGAAUGUGAUUGGAAUGCUUUUUGAGUAGUGAGACAUGUGACAUAUAUGUAUAUUUUUUACAGUACAAUAACUAGCUAAGUACUGAU